GUGAAUAACCCAUAAGGCCCAUUGUGAGCCAUUGUUGCUAACAUCAAACAACUGAAUACCAAAUCCAAAUAGGUAUAACCCCUUUAGAGAUAUAUCUAAACCUACUACAAUUGCAGAGAUUAGGAAAGUCUGUGUUAGCGCCUCACGUCCACUAGCGUGGUUCCCUUGAAGUAGAAAGGCUAUCAAGCUUACUUCGAGAAAUAGCAUGCCAGAUGUUGUGAACAAGGAGAUGACACUCCACAUGAAUUGUUUCCCUGGAGCACACUCCCAUGCCUGAAUAGAGCACCAGGCCAAAUUGAAGAUGCUAACAAGCCAGAGAAUGGCAUAGAGAACAGCUACUACAUGCGAUCGACCAUUAGAAACCUUGGAGAAGCUUCUCUUGGCUUGGGAAGCCAAGUAUAUAACAAAUAGUGCUGAAGGAACUAUCAUCAAUACAUUAUGCCAUAAACCGUGGCACUCCACGAACCAACCGCCGCCGCCGCCGCCG
rnacentral:misc_RNA from 1 species